CUCUGAGAGGAAUGGAGUUCAAGGAACUGCUGAAACUGGGGUGCUGGGCUGAUCUGGGACUCAGUUGCAUCCAGCCCAGGCAAAUCUUGGAUUGAAGAAGUGGCGGUUGUGACUACUCCACGUGUUACGUAUAUGACACUUCUGGUGUCUGACAGGCUAAUGCAAAAUUGGAUUCAUCAUCUGUGAACCACUGUUUGCCUACUUCAGUAGUACUUCCAGCAAGAGAUAAGAGUAAUGGGAACACAGAAAGACCAGCUGUUGCAAUCAAGACAAGAUACAAAAAGAUGCUGCAGAUUUCUCCAUUUAUUUACAUCUGAAGACAUGACCCACUGCCCAAGCAUGGCAGCUGCAAACGGGCAUAAUCAUUCCUUUGGCUCUAAAUUCAAAUAAUCAUGAUGGGCUUAUGGCAGUCCUGCUGUAUUCACAUGUUGAAGUAGGCAUACAGCUAGGAAAUGCAUUUUAGAAGAAUAGCUCUCUUCUGGGUGUUCUACAGAUCCAAAGAAGACUAAGGAGUAGACAUUGUUGCAGAGUAAAAAUGUGGCAGAGCUGCAAGGUGCACUGCUCCUUCAGCAGCGCAUCCAUGAAGUCAUGUUCACUCUCCAUAGCUUUCUUCAAUGGAUGUUUAAGCCUUCAGUAAUUACUGGAUCCUACAGGAGUAGUUUUAUCUCACUCAUGCCAGAAGGUGCAAUUUUAACUAGCAUGAUUAUAGCUCAGAAAGAAAAGGCCAGGCUCAGUCCAAAAUAAGUCAGAGGAGUUAUGUCUACUGUCAUCUAAAUGGAUUUGGCCUCAGAUAUUCAAAGAAAGUAUUACGUGAAAAGCCAGAGAAGAUCAUAUGUUCAUUAUGUAUGGCUUCCAUUAUAUACGUAGUAUGCGUAUUUUCUUUAGGUACUCUUAUACACAGGCUGUGGAUGCUCAAUUUUUGGCUGUAUAUCUACUUGGAAAUGUCCCAUACUGUGUGAUAAGACCCAGAUGGCAACCAGAUGGCUCCAUGUAACUCUUUGGAAGUGCUGCUGCAGACUGGGAGUAAGAAACUGAAGUAAGUCUACAAACAACUCCCUCUCUUUCUCAUGACUUCUACUAAUAAAGAGCAAAGAUU
rnacentral:lncRNA from 1 species